rnacentral:rRNA from 1 species
CAGCAGCCGCGGGAAUGCGAAGGGGGCUAGCGUUGUUCGGAUUUACUGGGCGUAAAGGGCUCGCAGGCGGUUUCUUAAGUCUGAUGUGAAAGCCCCCGGCUCAACCGGGGAGGGUCAUUGGAAACUGGGAAACUUGAGUGCAGAAGAGGAGAGUGGAAUUCCACGUGUAGCGGUGAAAUGCGUAGAGAUGUGGAGGAACACCAGUGGCGAAGGCGACUCUCUGGUCUGUAACUGACGCUGAGGAGCGAAAGCGUGGGGAGCAAACAGGAUUAGAUACCCCCGUAGUCCCUGUCUCUUAUAA